AGGAUGCGGGAAGUGGACCGCCCGUAAGUUGCUUUGCGGCCAAAUCACGCGGAAUCCCCUAGAUAUGAAGGUAGCUAGCGUUCGCGGAUUUGGAAUCCCAUGAAAAAUACGAAACGGUCGAUUUUAGGGUAUAUGUUCAGGCCGGCCAAACACCCGUCUUCUCACAAAUUGGGGUUAUUUUUGCCGCAUGGCCCGAUUUGCGGGGUAUGCUAGAGAUGUGCUAACAGUGUUGCUAUGCAU
rnacentral:lncRNA from 1 species